AUACGGAGGGGGCAAGCGUUGUCCGGAAUUACUGGGCGUAAAGCGUACGUAGGCGGUUUGGUAAGUCAGAUGUGAAAGCCCUGAGCUCAACUUGGGAACUGCAUUUGAAACUGCCUGACUAGAGUGUGAUAGAGGAUAGUGGAAUUUCCGGUGUAGCGGUGAAAUGCGUAGAUAUCGGAAGGAACACCAGUGGCGAAGGCGGCUAUCUGGAUCAACACUGACGCUAAGGUACGAAAGCGUGGGGAGCAAACAGGAUUAGAAACCCCAGUAGUCC
rnacentral:rRNA from 1 species